rnacentral:rRNA from 1 species
AUGCUUAACACAUGCAAGUCGAACGGUAACAGGUGUAGCAAUACAUGCUGACGAGUGGCGGACGGGUGAGGAAUGCCUGGGAAUCUGCCUGUUAGUGGGGGACAACCCGGGGAAACUCGGGCUAAUACCGCAUACGCUCUACGGAGGAAAGCGGGGGACCGUAAGGCCUCGCGCUAACAGAUGAGCCAAGUCGGAUUAGCUAGUUGGUGGGGUAAAAGCCUACCAAGGCGACGAUCCGUAGCUGGUCUGAGAGGACGAUCAGCCACACUGGGACUGAGACACGGCCCAGACUCCUACGGGAGGCAGCAGUGGGGAAUAUUGGACAAUGGGGGCAACCCUGAUCCAGCAAUGCCGCGUGUGUGAAGAAGGCCUGCGGGUUGUAAAGCACUUUUGGCAGGGAUGAAAAGCACUGGAUUAAUAAACCAGUGUGUUGACCUAACCUGCAGAAGAAGCACCGGCUAACUCUGUGCCAGCAGCCGCGGUAAUACAGAGGGUGCAAGCGUUAAUCGGAAUUACUGGGCGUAAAGCGCGCGUAGGCGGUCGAGUAAGUCGGAUGUGAAAUCCCCGGGCUUAACCUGGGAAUUGCAUUCGAUACUGCUUGGCUAGAGUGUGGAAGAGGGAAGCGGAAUUUCCGGUGUAGCGGUGAAAUGCGUAGAUAUCUGAAGGAACACCAGUGG